ensembl:lncRNA
CACAAAGAGACCCCAGGAUAGGAAGCAACAUUGUAUUAAGCAACAUUGUUUUCUUCUCUCUUUCCCUUCAGCAUUCAGUGUGGGAUCAGUGUAAGCCAGCAUUGAUUUAAGAAUAGCAAGAAACCCCAUAGCCAAAUAUGUGGACACAGAAGCUUUCCUUUGCCUUUUUGUUUGUAAGCUGCUGUAGGCUCAGCUGCCUGUCCAGGAAGUGCCACUUUGUAGUACAAUAGAGACAGAGCUGCCAGAAAGCAGCAUAGAUUCUCAAGGUUCAGCUAUGUCCUAAUGGGAAUUACUAAUAAACAAAAGAAGAUACAUUUUCUUUCAGGUAAGCUUGCUUGACAAUUCUAUAUAAAUACGGGUUAAAAUAGAGCAUGGAUGUUAAAACGAGUCUUGAAAGAAAUACAUGAUAUUUAUUUAUUCAUUCAUUUAGAUUUUUUUGUUUGUUUGUUUGUUUUGAGACAGGGUUUCUCAGUGUAGCCCUGCUUAUGUGGGAACUGGCUUCGACUCACAGAGAUCCAACUUUCUCUGCUUCUCAAGUGCUAGGAUUAAAGGCAUACACCCGGUGAAAUACAUGGUUUUUAAAUUUUUUAUUUUUCCCAUUAUUGUCUGGCUUCUCUACUUUUCCUGUGUCCCUUUGUCUAAUAAUUCAUUAUGUUUUUGUGGUUAUCUGUGCAGGAAGAAUCACUUGUGUGUAUGCAACAAAAGCCCUUCGAAUGAACACCCUCUUAGCACUGAACAACAAAGAGGAAAGUAGGCUAUUACCUGUUCCUGGUUGCCAAGCACAAUGUCCCUGCCUGGGCUGAGUCACUCAGGAGAGAUUUGAAGUGGAGCUGUUACUAAGACAACAGAAUUACACAUCCAUUUCCUCUGUGAGGCCCCUUUUCUUCAUACACUCACAUCAAGUAAGAAAGGGAGGGCUCUGGGAUAAAAAUACCAGCAACAAACAAAGAAACAAGGUAAAGAUGCUUUCCGACAUUUCAGUAAUGGCGGGAUUGUUUUAGGAAACCAUUUAAAGAGCAAAAAUAUAACGUUAGAGUGAGUUCUUCAUAACAUAAUAACUGACAUAUAUUGACAUACGAUAGCAAAAUAUAAGAUCAGAUAAUGUCAAAAGUAAGACAGUAUAAAUGUAGAAGAUUCAUCAGAAUCUCUCAUCAGGGAAAAGUGAUGUCUGGGCCCUGUCCCCAGAGAUACUUACUAAGUACGUUUGUGAUAUGGCCAUGGAAUAAGCAGCAGUUUAAAGUUCAAUAUGUGAAAAGCCAAAAUGGAAGGUGCCAUCUAGAGGCAAAACCAGCCUUUAUGUAAGUUGUGGGGUAUCCACUAGAGAAGACUGCUCAGAUGUGAGUUUAAGCCAAUAGAAAGUCUUUAUUAGCAAGCCGGCAACUACACUGUAUGUUUGGGAUCCCAAUGUAGCCACUCAUAUCCUGGGUUAACAUAUUUCAGCUAACAAGAACAGUUAACCAGAGGUUGAACUAUAGAAGCCAAAAAUAAGGUUAGUAUAUUUGGAAACUUUCCCAGAACUAUGGACUCUGAUGGAUUAGGCCUUUGUUUUAGUUUUGGCAGUAGUCCUGUGUUUGUACUGAUUUUUAUAGUCUGAAUGCUACUUCUAUCAUGGAGUCAGUUGUGCUAAGGUCUGAAGGCCUACCCAAGUCUGGGGCCCUGUUACAUUCCCCACUGGUCUUACUGAAUGAAUUAAAUUGUGGGUUCAUCCUACUUUAAAAAU